rnacentral:lncRNA from 1 species
AGGCUUAUUCUCAGCUGAUGAGACCAAACACCGGUUUGAAGGCCUUAGUGUGUGGUUGCACCUACAAACUCUUCCUAUGGCCAGCCUGGGAUGAAAAGGGAUGCUCUAAGGGUGUGGAGAGGGAGACAACGUCUCAAUAUAAAGAAGCAGGACCAGGAUGAAGCAAUCAGCAUUCCUUCACAGUAGCUAAUCUGGGCAGGCAUCAAUUCAUAGGACUAGUCAUAAGAAUAUUCCUAAUUUUAUUCAUAGCUUAUAGCCAUAGAAAUAUGUUUUAAAUGGACAGAUGGAAUGAAAUAAUUUUGUGUUGAUCAAAUAAUUGUUGAAAAUUAUCUAUCAAUUACACAAAAUAUACAUGGUAUGCUGCAAGUAUCCAUUUUAUUCAUAUAUCAGAAUAGUUAAUAGUAAAACUUGACAUCGCUUGCUUCAUUUAUAAAACGAUGAACUGAAAGACCAAAAUCUGCGACUUGUUAAUAAGAAAUAAAAAGUCACAAUUUAUACUUCACCUUAGUCAAAAGGCCAAGAAGUGAUUCACAUACAAUUCCAAGGAGUAAGAAAUGUAAAAAUAAUUGCAUGAACUGUACUUUGAAUCCAUACAGAGGAAUCAUUUCUGAGGAAACAGUUAAAGUUAAUUUGGCAAAGAACAGGGCUCACUGUUAGAAAACAAAAAACCCUUUAAAUAAUCUGUUCAGUAUUUCAUCUUUACCCAUACUUUAUAUAACAUGAAGGAAAAAUUAAGUAAGUUUUGAU